rfam:Picea glauca, whole genome shotgun sequence.
GCUUGUAACAUAGCGUUAAUGCACUAGAUCCCACUAGAAAUCCAAAGUUAAGCAUGCUUAGGCUAGAGUAGUACUGGGAUGGUUGAUCUCUUGAGAAGUCUUAGUAUUUUACAUGCC